GACGAACGCUGGCGGCGUGCUUAACACAUGCAAGUCGAACGAAGAGCGAUGGAAGCUUGCUUCUAUCACUCUUAGUGGCGAACGGGUGAGUAACGCGUAAUCAACCUGCCCUUCAGAGGGGGACAACAGUUGGAAACGACUGCUAAUACCGCAUACGAUCUAAUCUCGGCAUCGAGGAUAGAUGAAAGGUGGCCUCUACAUGUAAGCUAUCACUGAAGGAGGGGAUUGCGUCUGAUUAGCUAGUUGGAGGGGUAACGGCCCACCAAGGCGAUGAUCAGUAGCCGGUCUGAGAGGAUGAACGGCCACAUUGGGACUGAGACACGGCCCAGACUCCUACGGGAGGCAGCAGUGGGGAAUCUUCCGCAAUGGACGAAAGUCUGACGGAGCAACGCCGCGGGAGUGAUGACGGCCGUCGGGUUGUAAAGCUCUGUUAAUCGGGACGAAAGGCCUUCUUGCGAAUAGUGAGAAGGAUUGACGGUACCGGAAUAGAAAGCCACGGCUAACUACGUG
rnacentral:rRNA from 1 species